rnacentral:tRNA from 1 species
GUUAAUGUAGCUUAAACUUCCAAAAAGCAAGACACUGAAAAUGUCUAGAUGGGCUUAUCGCCCCAUCAACA